GGGCGUCCGGAAAAUUUGACUAUUUGCAUUUUCAAUAUUCUUUCAAGAACCACCGGGCCAAUUUCAACCAAACAUGGCACAAAGUAUCCUUGGGUAAAAUGGAUUCAAGUUUGUUCAAAUGAAGGGCCAAAUCCUCUUCCAAGGGGAGGUAAUUAUGAAUUAAUGAAAAAUUUAUGUCAUCUUUUAAAAAUCCACUAAUCCAGAACAACUGGGCCAGGAAAGAUGAAACUCCUCAGGUAGUGUAGAUUCAUGUUUGAUCAAGUCUUGAGCUUUUGGGCAGGGCGACAAUGGCUGAUCAAAGUUCUACAUUGGAAAAUAUAGGAAAAAUCUUUAAAAUCUUUUUCUCCAGAACCAAUGACCCAGGAAAGAUGAAAUUCAUGUGGAAGCAUCUUUAUGUAGUGUAGAUUCAAAGUUGUUCUAUUCCAUGAUCCCUGGGGGUAGCUGGGGCGGGGCCACAAUGGAUGUUCAAAGUUUUACAUAGGAAAAUUGAAAAAAAAAACUUUAAAAAUCUUCUCCUCCAGAACCACAGGGCCAGGAAAGAUGAAACUCAUGUGAAAGCAUCCUCAUGUACAUGUAGUGUAGAUUCAAAUUUAUCUAAAUCAUGACCCCCGGGGGUAGGGCGAGACCACAAUGGGUGAUCAAAGUUUAACACAGGAAUAUAUAAGAAAAAUCUUUAAAAGUCUUCUUCUCCAGAACCACUGGGCCAGGAAAGAUGAAACUCAUGUGGAAGCGUCCUCAUGUAGUGUAGAUUCAAAUUUAUUUAAAUCAUGACCCCCAGGGAUAGGGCGGGACCACAAUGGCUGAUCAAAGUUUAACACAGUCAGGAGUAUAUAAGAAAAAUCUUUCAAAAGUCUUCUUUUCCAGAACCAGUGGGCCAGGAAGGAUGAAGCUCAUGUGGAAGCAUCCUCAGGUAGUGUAAAUUCAAGUUUGUUCAAAUCGUCACCCCUGAGUGUAGGGCGGAGCCAAAGUGGCUGAUUAAAGUUUUACAAAGGAAUAUAUAGGAUUUUUUUUUAAAACUUCUUCUCCAGAACCACUGGGACAGGAAAGAUGAAAAUCAUGUGGAAGCAUCCUCAGGUAGUGUGGAUUUGUUUGUUCAAAUCAAAAUCUCCGGGGGUAGGGCGGGUCCACAAUAGCUUAUCAAAGUUUAACAUAUGAAUAUACAAUGUAUAGGAAAAAAAUUCUUCUCAAGGUCAGCAAAGCAAUGAUUGAGGAUAUUUAUAUGGAAACAUCAUCAGUUAGAGUAUAUUCAAGUUUAUUCAUAUCACGACCCCUCGGGGGAGGCGGGGCCAUAAUGAGCAAUCAAAUCUUUACAUAGAAAUAUAUAGGGGAAAUCUUCAAAGCUACUCUUCUCAAAUAUGGUGAAGUUGUACAUGUAUGCUUUAUUGAUAUAGUGAUAUUCUCAAGUAACAGAUAAACAACGCCCCCUCCCCCAAGUUAACUUUUCAAUUUUGAACCAAUUGGUGUUUUUAACUAGCCCAUGUGCUCAGGUGAGCGAUGUUGCCUAUUGGCCUCUUGUUACAAUUUAAAAUCUACACUAUCCCAUUUAUGGCCCAAUGGUUCUUGAGAAGAAGAUUAAAAAAGAAUUUUUCUAAUUCUUUCUAUGUCAAAAUUGGAUUCCCUAUUGUGACCUCGCCCUACCCCUUAGGGGCAAGAUUUUACCGAUUUAGAUUCUACACUACCCCAGGAUGCUUCCACAUAAGUUUCAGCUUUCCUGGCCUACUGGUUCUUGAGAAGAAGAUUUGUCCUAUAUAUUUCUAUGUAGAACCCGCCCUACCACCCGGGGUCAUGGAUUUUUCAAUUUAGAAUCUACACUACCUCAGAAUGCUUUCUCAUUAGUUUCAGUUUUUAUGGCCCAUUUGUUGUUGAGAAGAAGAUUUGAAAAGAUUUUUUCCUAUAUAUUUCUAUGUAAAACUUUGAUUCCCUAUUGUGUGAUUUUAACAAUUGAGAAUUAACACUAUCCCAGGAUGCUUCCACGUAAGUAUCAGUUAUCCUGGGUCAUUUGUUCUUGAGAAAAAGAUUUUAAAUUUUUUUCCUAAAUACUUCUAUGUCAAACUUUGAUUCCCUAUUGUGGUCUCGCUCUACCCCCGGUGGCCAUGACAAUUUAGAAUCUACACUACCCCAGGAAGCUUUCACAUAGGUUUCAGCUUUCCUGGUUCUAUAUGGUUCUUGAGAUGAAGAUUAUGAAAGAUUUUUCCUUUAUAUUCCUAUGUAAAACUUGGAUUCCCUUUUGUGAACCAGUCCUACCCCCGGGGCUCAUGAUUUUAACAAUUUAACAAUUACUCUACUCCAGAAUGCUUCCACAUAAGUGUCAGCUUUCCUGGCCUACUGGUUCCUGAGAAGAAUAUUUUUAAGUGACCCAUCCUUUUUUGUCUUUUAUUGAUUAUUUCCCCUUGGAAGGGGACUUAGCCCUUUAUUUUAACAAUUGGAACUCCGCAUCAACCAAGUAUACUAUGUACUGAGUUUGUUUAACUCUUUACAACUUACUGAACUGUUUUGAAACAUGCACUUAUUAGUCACGUCAUAGAAAUAGAAAUUUACCAUUUCUCCGCAAGCACCUUAAAGUAUGGUACACGUUUCUCUAAAGUUUAGCGUUAGUUAUAUUAUAACAUUAUAUUUUAAUACAAAAAUAAAUAUUCUUAUCUUAUGUGAUUUUUGCUAGUAUAACAAAGAAGGAAAGAACUACGAACGCUAACUCUUGAUUCACAUCUUUGUUUAAUACAAAGAACAGUUCUAUGGUAAAUGAUUAAUCAUUUUAUUUCCAGCGUUAGAUAGUAAAUUAUCAUUAAUUCCAGCUCUUGAAAAAAGGGGUGUAGGCGAUAUUUUCUGGUGAAAAGGAACUUUCAAGAAUCACCAUAUUAUGAAAUAGUCUUAAAUAUAAUAAAAUUUAUCUCAUAUCUUUUCUUAGUUUUACGCAAAUAAAUAAAACAUGUAUAAAUAAAUAAAAAAACAAUUAGUCAGGUGUAAAUAGCUGUAAAAUUGGUGAAUAUUCAGCAUAUUUUUUCGUUUUUUGUCUAUAAACAUAUGUUCCCCCCCCCCCCGUGAAACACAAAAAGCUUUGGCAUAAAUUUGUUAAAUGAAAGUCAAUAUUACCUGUAAAAAGGAAUUUUUGUUUCAGGGGGGGAUGUUUUAAAGAUAUUUUCCGUUUUCCAUUGAUUUCUAUAGUGAAAAACACAAGUUUAACCAAAAUUAUAGAGUUAUCUCUCUUUGGUAUCCCAAAUAGGUAACGUUUUAAGAAAAUUCAUUUAAAUAUCUAUAAAAAUUUCGAAAAUCAUUCGAAUAUAAUAACUUUUGAGAAUUGACUUAGAGGUAGGCGGGAGAACAAUACUAUUGUUCGUGGUUCUUUGCAUUCAAUUAAAGAUUAAUUGGAAUUUUUAAAGUACGUGAAAAUGUGUGAUUGCGGGGAUACGGUAUAUGUGUGAUUUUGCGUCAGAAAUAGGAAAUGGUAUAUGCGUUAAAAUGCGUGACUGCGGGGUAGGGGGUUAAAUCAUCCUAGCGGGUCUUGAGAAAAUGAUGAAAAUGCGAAAAGUUUACAGACGGACGGACGGACUACGGACAAAAUAUGAAUAGAAAAGCUCACUUGAGCCUUCGGAUCAAGUGAACUAAAAAUACACCUAAAAUUAAGACUAAAAAAAAAUUUGAGGUUCUGCUACAGUUCAUUGAAUGGAAGACUUUCUAGUUCUAUAUAUGUUUUGACACAAAGUUUUGAGUCUUUUAAUUUACAAUUGAAUACAUUGUAAUUGAUCUUUUAAUUUCUUCAGAAGACGUCUGGAGGCACAUGUUCAUCCCAGUCAAUUC